rnacentral:lncRNA from 1 species
UUUUUCUUUCCUGUUUGGAACUCCGACUACACAAGUGCUUAAUCUUUUAACCAUAUCCUUUAUAUCUCAGUUCUUGUUUGUAUGUUCCCAAAUUGUUUCCAUUUAUGCUCAAGAUAGAUAUUUCUUACUUGUGUAUUUUCAGUUCUAGAAUUUCCAAUUGAUGAUGUUUAGAAAAUCCAGCUUUCUGGUGACAUAGUCAAUAUUUUCAUUUAUUUUCUUACAUCAAUGACAAUUAUUUUAACAUCUGUGUUUGGCUUUUCUAACAUCAGGAUCAUCCUUUGCUAUUGCUUUAUCCUUAUUUCUCCAUAUUUCCUGGCAUUACUGGUAAUUUUUCAAAGAAUACUAGAAAAUAAACAUAAAAAACUAAAGUUUGUGUGAUAUUAUCUUCCUACAGAGAAUUUUUUUUUUUUCCCCUGGCAAGACAGAAAAUAACCUUGGAUCCAUCUGAAGGUAUAUAUUUUCAAAUUGCCUUUAUUCCCAAGAAAAAAAGCCUUUUAAGAGGAUCCCACGAAAAGUGCGAGGUAUUAAUCAGGAGGCCUCCUUGCAGCUGGUCCUGAAAUCUAAUUUUUAUAUCCUAGGAAGCAACAUGGGUUCUGCUUGGUUUCUAGGAGUCUCACUCUCCAUAUACGCACCAACAAGUAGGUAAAUGCUUCAAAAGACGUGGUAAAUUGAACACUGGUUUGAGACCCGUCUUUGUGUUUUCCCUAGGAGCAGUAGGUUCUGUCUGUCUCAGAAUGCUCUCCUUCAAUCUGUGAUCCCAAAUACCAGUGACCUUGGUGCUACGAGCCACCAAUUUCUCAUCCUCUGUUCUGCUCUAUGAUGAGAGCUUCCAAAUGCCCAGGGGAAGAAAGGUGCUGAGAAGGCAGUGUUCACACAUCUACCCUGCUCUCUUCUCCACGACUUUGGAUGAACUGGUUUGGCUCUAGUGCCCCUAAACAGGCUCUUCUCAUUUAUUCUGUUAUUUUGUUGUUGUUUUUUCUAGGCAGGAAGGAGAGACUAGUAUCAGCUACCCCAGCACCGCUAUUAAUGAAAGUUCCUUCACAACUGCAUUUAAUGAGAAGGAAAUCUAAAUCAGCUGGAUUCUUAAAAUUAUACAUCUGUAUAAAUACUAACUGAAGUAACUUUAGGAAAAAAGUGAAAUGAUUCUUCGCUCAAAUCCCAGUGUAACCACGACUGACUGUGUAACUUUAGGCAGGAGACUUACUACCUCUGGAGUUGAAUUCGCUUGCAUGCAAGAAAGAAACCCUCAUGUGUCCUUACGUGUUUCAUGGAAUUAAGCGAGAAAGUGAUAUUCCUGGGUCCUGUUCCUUUCUGACUCAUCAUUAAUAAUUAAUCUUAUAAAUACCUAGUCAUUGCCUAUCAAAACCUUUUAUCUGUGUGUGUCACUUUUCUUUUGUGGGAUCUAUAAAGAGGGAAAAAAGACGGUACUAAUGCUCUGUGGCGCAGCUAUCAUAAAUUUAUCUUGAAAACAAACACGCCUAUUCAUUUUUAAAUAUUGAUGUGGUUGCUGUUGCUUUUGUAUUUAAAAAAAAAGAGAACCCUCUGGUCCAAGGAUUCUAUCUUAUUUAUCUUUGCAUCCUCCUAGGACAUGACACAGAGUAGGGAAAUAAUUAAUAACUCCUAAGGGGAACAGGGUAUACAUGCAUUUUAUGAAAAAUAAAGAGGAAGCAGAGGCUUACAAUUCAAGAUCUUAACUUUUAAGAAAUUCACAGUACUAUGAACUAGAAUCUUGCUUUUCACAAUCAAGGGCUAAUGCUGCCCUGUUGCCUAGUGACUGAAAAUAAAAUGCAGAGGCAGCACACCCUAUUGGAGCUUUUGGUUUCAGAAAUAAUACUUAUGGUGACUCCCUCUGAUCAUAGAAGGAAUUCAUAAUCAAUAUAAAGCAAAUUUCAAAAAUAAGUCAAAACAAGAAAAAUAUCAAGCACACUCCCAUUCUCUGAAGCUAACAUGUCCAGUAUCAAGAAUGAAUAAUUAAGAUACAGUUGGUGCAAUUUUUUCAAAUAUAAAAUUAACACCAUACAGGAUAUACUUAUGGUUAUCACUUUAUUUCCAUUAGCAUUAUAUUGUACCUCUUUUUAAAAAUAUCAGACAAUCUUUUUUUUUUUUCUUUUUAGGGUUCACCUGCGGCAUAUGGAUGUUCCCAGGCUAGGGAUCAAAUCAGAGGUGCCGCUGCCAACCUACGCCACAGCCACAGCAACGCAAGAUCCAAGCCACAUCUGUGAACGAAGACCACAGCUUGUGACAACACCCGAUCCUUAACCC